CUUGUAGUUUCCUGUAGACUCACAACUGUUCUCGUCAGAUUAGCGACAUCGCUAAAAUAGUGAGGAAUGCCACUGCUACUAUAACGAAACGAUUGAAGGAGUUUUCAGAGACUCCCAGUAGUAAACUGAGUAUUGAGGAAUUUGAGAAUGUUGAUCUGGGAGAAGAGGAAGAUCCUCCCGCUUUUAAAGCUCUUAAAAUAAAGAACAAAUCCCGAGAGUCUGAUCUUUCUCUGGUGGAACGAGAAGUGUGUCAAUACCAGAAAGAGUUGGAACAGGAGAUUAAAGUCCAGGGGACGGUUAAAGGUGACGAGGGGGCUGAAGUAGACUCCUCUUCUCUUUACAAACCCCCUCCUUUUAUGGAGAAGACUCCUAGCUGUAGCACUUCUGGAGCACAAGGUCAAGGUAUCAGAACAGCCUACGGUCUGAUUCCUAACUACCUGGACGGAGAGGGAGCUGAGAAAAGAGAUGCUAAUCCUCCUAACGAGAAGGAAACUGUAUCUGCAGCACAGGAUGAAGUGAA